rnacentral:rRNA from 1 species
GAGUUUGAUCCUGGCUCAGGAUGAACGCUGGCGGCGUGCUUAACACAUGCAAGUCGAACGGGAAAUACUUCAUUGAGACUUCGGUGGAUUUGAUCUAUUUCUAGUGGCGGACGGGUGAGUAACGCGUGGGUAACCUGCCUUAUACAGGGGGAUAACAGUCAGAAAUGGCUGCUAAUACCGCAUAAGCGCACAGAACCGCAUGGUUCGGUGUGAAAAACUCCGGUGGUAUAAGAUGGACCCGCGUUGGAUUAGCUAGUUGGCAGGGCAGCGGCCUACCAAGGCGACGAUCAGUAGCCGGCUUGAGAGAGUGAACGGCCACAUUGGGACUGAGACACGGCCCAAACUCCUACGGGAGGCAGCAGUGGGGAAUAUUGCACAAUGGGGGAAACCCUGAUGCAGCGACGCCGCGUGAGUGAAGAAGUAUCUCGGUAUGUAAAGCUCUAUCAGCAGGGAAGAAAAUGACGGUACCUGACUAAGAAGCCCCGGCUAACUACGUGCCAGCCGCCGCGGUAAUAC